GAAAGUUUUGCAGACCCUUUGAUGAUAUUUGGCGACAAAUUUUGGUAAAUUUUAUGCAUCGUAGAUGCUAUCGAACCAUUACGAAACGGUGGUUUUGGAAAUGGGAUGACUAUCAAGGAUACGGCUUUCUUGAAGCCUAAUUCCUCUAGAAACUUCCAUGUAGAGGGGUUCAGAACCUAAAACCCCACAGUAACGAAUUCAUUGUUAACACCACUAGGCCACCUCUUACGAUUAUGAUCGCAACUGAAAUGGAAGAGCAUGUCUGUUGGUUGGUUGCUGGAGAUUUUGACGUCGGCUUCCAGGCAUGAGUUGGGGAUGCUUUAGGUGUUCUUCGACGGCCAUGGCUGACCAAGUUUGGAUCUACUAUGGCAUUGUAUGCGAAUAUGACUUUACGAAUAUGUCUUCUUCUUUUAUCUCUAUGCCAGUCCAGAUCAACAUUAAUUGUCUUUUGUAAUUCGUUUAUAAACGGAAGGAAAAUGAAAAAGAAUUUAGAGUGGAGGCUUCAAGGGUAAUGGGAUGGUGGCCGAGAGACAUGCCCAAUCGAUUUGGGAUCGGUGGUUGAGUGCGAA